UCAUAAGACAAUGUAGCGCUAUGUUAAGCAAUCGUAAGUGGACUAAUGUAGUAGUCACACCUAUCUGAGGCCGGUCAAUAAAAAUAUAGGCAAAGAACUCAAGUUAGAGAUCAUGACUAGUAAGCCAAGCUCCACAAACUUGCCAUGCCAAAACAAAAGGGGAAGGCCCAUAGACUUUAGGUUAUUUGCUUGACCAAUAAACAACCUAUCUUGGACACAAAACAAC
rnacentral:lncRNA from 1 species